UACCCAGAAGUACUAUUUAUCCUCACAAUUAAAUUAUUUGUUAGUUGACGAUGCAAUCAGCAUGCUGAUUAAGGUUGCUUGGAUUUUUACUAAACAUUAACUGAAUGAAAACGGGUAGUCCUUGUUCUGCUUGGGGGCUUUAAGGAAGCAAAUGGACUUUCAGAACAGAGAUUGUCAAUAAAGUUACCGAGAAUUGAAAACCUUGAGAAAUUGGAAUUCUACAAAAUGUCUCUUUUUGAUUAGAAAGGCGAUUUUAUUGGCAAGCUAAAGAACAAUAAACCACUGUAUGAGAGCAGUGUAAUCCAGGAAUGUCCAUCUGGACCUCUGAAUGCCAUCCUCUGAGAAGAUGCCCAUGACAGCAAGCACACUGGAGCGCAACACCAUCCUGGGUGAAGAUUUGUUGCAAUUGAAUGUGGAUGUGCUGAUCUCUGUGCUCCUGGAUAUGGAGCUGUUAAUCUCUCCUCAAGAGCUGGAUGCAGGCCCAGGCUGCCAUGUAGCACUGAGUGAUGCCAUGCCAAUUCUAGACAAGGUCUUUAUUGCUGGAAAUGUUGCAUAAUGACAGUUUUAUUCAUGUGAAAACGCAGAAUACAUUUCAACUGUAUGAAAUUGUUUAUGUUCAUCAGAAAUGUUAUUUGUCUUCACAAAG
rnacentral:lncRNA from 1 species